rnacentral:rRNA from 1 species
AGGUAGGGGAGCUUCCUAUGCAGGCUGAAGCAUGACCGUAAGGACGUGUGGACAGUAUAGGAGUGAGAAUGUUGGCAUGAGUAGCGAGACGUGGGUGAGAAUCCCACGGGCCGUAAACCCAAGGUUUCCAGGGGAAGGUUCGUCCGCCCUGGGUUAGUCGGGACCUAAGCCGAGGCCGAAAGGCGUAGGUGAUGGACAACAGGUUGAGAUUCCUGUACCACCGAUAAUCGUUUGAGAGAUGGAAUGACACAGUAGGAUAAGCUAACCACACUGUUGGUUAUGUGUGGCUAAGUACUGAGGCAGUCAAGGCAGGCAAAUCCGCCAUGAUAAUGCUGGGGUACGAUGGGGAGCGAAAUUAAGUAGCGAAGUAGCUGAUUUCACACUGUCGAGAAAAGUUUCUAUCGAGAUUAAAGGUGCCCGUACCGCAAACCGACACAGGUGGGUGAGGAGAGUAUCCUAAGGCCAGCGAGAGAACUGUUGUUAAGGAACUCGGCAAAAUGACCCCGUAACUUAGGGAGAAGGGGUGCCACGUUAGGGUUAACGCCCGAGGUGGCCGCAGAGAA